UAUCUACCCUUUGGCCUGGAAUAACACGAGGAAACUUGUGCUAAUACCGGAUAAGUCUCUACGGAGAAAGCUUUAUGCACCAUUGGAUGAGCCUGCACUUGAUUAGUUUGUUGGUGGGGUAAUGGCCUACCAAGACUGUGAUCAAUAGCUGAUUUGAGAGGAUGAUCAGCCACAUUGGGACUGAGACACGGCCCAAACUCCUACGGGAGGCAGCAGUGGGGAAUCUUGCACAAUGGAGGAAACUCUGAUGCAGCGAUGCCGCGUGAGUGAAGAAGGCCUUUGGGUUGUAAAGCUCUUUCGUCGGGGAAGAAAAUGACUGUACCCGAAUAAGAAGGUCCGGCUAACUUCGUGCCAGCAGCCGCGGUAAUACGAAGGGACCUAGCGU
rnacentral:rRNA from 1 species